rnacentral:lncRNA from 1 species
UGCACUGUGUUUAAUUCUGGUAACUUUUAACCAAAAUGCCCUCUCCUCAUUUUCUCUAACCCUCCAAAUCCUAACCACUUGCAAGGACCAGUCCAAGUCCCACACUUUUCAUGAAAGUUGCUUCAGUUUUCUAGCCCACAAAUUCCUACUUCUCUCUGUACCUACAGCAAAUAAUAAUGGAGCACACAACUGCAACUUCAUUGUCUUCACUCUGUCUCUGACAGACUGAUCUCAUCUCCUCACUCUCGAGGAUUUGCUCCCCUUUUAUGGCUUUUACUGAGAUCAUGAAGCUCCCAUCAUUACAUCUUCAGCCCAGAUGUCUCCCCUGAAUUAAUAUUCAUAUUCCCAACCUCCUACUCCAUUUCUCCAUUUAGAAGCCUAAUAGGUGUCUCAAAUCUAAGGUGUGCACACCUGACAUGAUCCUCUUCCAAAUCUGUUACUCUUCAGUCUUUGUAUCUCAGUAAAUGACAGCCCCACCCUUCCAGUUAUCAGGUCCCAAACCUUAGAAGCAUGCUUGACACUGCUUUCUCACUUAUACUCCACAUCCUAUCCUUCUGAGUUCCUCUCCCCUUCCUCGCUUUAGUUUCUCCAUAGCACUUACCACCGCCUAACAUACUGCACAUUUCUUAUUUAUUUCCUUAUUUUCUGCCUCUAUUCCUGUAGAAUGUAAGCUCUACCAGGACAGGAAUUUUUUGUGGUUUUUGUUCACUGCUUUAUCCCUAGAGACUUUUAUCCAUUUCAUUUAUUAUUGUAUUUCCACCCAGAACUAUGAUUGGCACAAGUUGGCCCUUGGGUAUUUAAAGAGAGAGACAGGGAGAGAAGCCAAGUUCCAUGAGAACAGUUGCUGUGUCUUCCACUCUUUUUUUUUUU